UAGUUGAAGUGGGGUUGAGGCCUAACACCUGGAUGUUGUGUUAGCAGCAGCAGAGGAGCCUGCCUCAUGGGUGAAUAGCUGUGAUUCUGACACCGUUGCUUUGCCAGCAACAGAUCGUACUGAGCUUCACAAAGGGGAAAAUGAUCCACGUGAUAAAAAUAUAAGUGCCUGAGCUGAGGCAAAGCCAGAAAGUUCCAUCUGAUGGAUGAGGACAAAGCCAGCAAUGAUGUGGAGCCCAGAGGUUUGGAGCAUUUGCUGCCUGAGCCAUUAUUCAGUUUUUCCCUGGGUGAUCCAGCACCACCUUCCCUUCUCCUGCAGCUCCUUCGGGUUUGUGGAUUUGGUCUGAAAUACAUGCAGGGGAUAUCUUGAGUGAAACACUUCUCCUGCUGUGAAGCUCAGCUCUGCUGCCUUUAACUCUUUAACUCUUAAACAGUUUUAACUCUGUCAGUGCACAUCCCAAGGCGUCCCCUUUGCCCUCCACACAGAGCAGGCUGAAAUAAAAUGGGACAGAAAGAUGAGGCAUCAGAUAUUGAGGUACCAAACGCUCUGGAGCAGCACGAGAUGCCCUUGAGAAUUUGAAGGAGGCUGUGCCUGUGUCCAUGCCAGCAGUCCUGCCUGGAAAAUGGUGCUGGGCCUGGUGGCUGCAAAGCCAAAAAUUGGGUAUGACACUUUCCUGCCCCUCAGACUCCGAAUUCCUGCUGCUGUGUAUUUAGCAUCCCCCUCGUGAAGUUAAAGCCGCUCAUAAAAGUGUGAAGCAAAAAGUCCAAACUUACAUGGGGACUGUUCCAUUUUCUCUGUGUGGCCAUAAUGGGGUUAUUUAUGGGACAUGUAGGAAAGAUUAAAGGUUUUCAUAAUAAAGGAAGGCGAGAGCUCAAGAACUGGGUGCCUCCUAACAGCACUGACUCUCAAGACAGGAUAAAUCACCCAAGCAACCAUUAAAACUUCAAGAAGAUUGCUUGUAAACCUCCAAGCCAUGCCAAUAAAGCAUAUUCCUUGCCACGGAGCAGCCCAGAUGGUGGAGCUCAGCAGUUUUCAGAGCUCAGGACUCCUCAGUUUAACCUUCCUGUCCCUCUCCUCAGAGGGCACGGUGCCAAUGAACCGCUGUGGAAUCCAUGGGAUCUCCAAAUGUGGGAUCACAGGGACAGCAGGCUCGGGAGGAGCGACCCUCCCAGUCAGAGCCCACCUCAGAGCUGGGCUCCACUUCUGCCCCCAACAACUCCGGGCCAUUUUUCAUUCUGCUGCUUCUUGGGGGUCUCCCAUCAUAACACAGAGACACAUUUUUAUGGGCUUCAGGAAGUCAGGAAAAUAUUUCAGUGCCCUUCAAGGUUCUGGUUCAUUUGCAUUUUAGAAAGUCAAGUCUGCCCAUUCCUUCCACUCUGAAAGACCAAGUGAAAAGUGCAAUAAAUCACAGUUUAAGCUUGUGUGUGGCACAGCAUCAGCCAGGGAUCCUUCCCCAAGUCCUGCACCAGAGAAAAGCCCCAAACCAAAAUUUUUGUAUCAUUUCUCCUCAUCCAUUUGUUGCUUAGUUGUCUGGUUGGGAUUUGUUCAGUUGGUUUUGCUUUGUGUCGGUUUUUUCUUUCCCAUUCCUGUUUCAGGAAAAUCUCACCCAGAUUUUGAGCUGAGACCCCAUGUGCUCAGGCUGGACAGAGGCAAGUGCUGAGGAAGGUGAUGAAGGAGUUAAUCUGGCCCAAGAACAAUUCCCAGAGAUGGAUCACGCCUGGUCCAAAUUCUACAAGUGGAUUUUCCUCACGUUUCAUUUCUUUUUCAAGCCUUGCUCAAGAGAAGUAACCAGAUCCAAUUUUCAUGUUAAUUCUUAAACUUGACUUAAGAGAGGAGUAGAUUUAUGAAGAGUCUUAAUUCUGCAGACUGCAGGCUCCCCAUGGGGGUGUUCAGAGAUUUUCUGGGGAAUUCUGGUAACAGACUCAAUUCCCACAACAACAGCUUGACUCUUACUGGGGGAUUUCUGCUGUUGUUACAUAAUAAAUCACAGUUCUCAUAAUAAAAAUAAGUGGAAUCUACCAAUAUUCAAACCAUUGAUAGUUAAGCAACUGUUCAGAUUUUGGGAAGCAUUUUUUUUACAGACAAUAUAAGAAAGUCUUUCUGGGAGACAAAUUAAGUAAAUACCUCAUAAAUAAAUUACCCCUGGUCACCCGCUUAAAUCAAUGGGAGUAAGAGAAUGACAAUCAGUGCAUUGUCAUUCUGCUUUUUCAUGGAGUAAUUCUAAAGCUGUGCAGGAGGAAUUGUCUUAUUCAGUUGAAAUCCAUGGAACUUUGUUCAAUGAGU